rnacentral:lncRNA from 1 species
GUGUGUGUGCGUGUCUGUGUAUUUCCCCUAAACCUAUGUUCUUUUGUUGGGUUCCUGAGCACGCUGUUGAAAUAUUUCACUUGAGGACAUCAUUACAUUUCAUGGAUGUUGAAGUAUCCUUCCAGGAGCAGCUACUCCACGGCUGUUUGGAUUUAGAAUGCAGCUCUUUUGGGAAGGAAGAGAUAAGUCCUCUUCCAAGAAGUAAGCUUCCCAGAGUGGCCUUGAAGGGCUGAGAUGAGAUUCUUGCAAGAGGUAUUCAGUCCCCACCCGCGUAUUUGUUCAUUAGAUGCCGACCGUAGGCUCUGAAAAUCCACUGUGUGAAAAAUCUCAAGCUGUAGGCUGGCAAGGAGAUUGAGAAGACAGAGAGGGUUUUGUUCCUCAGCUGGCGUCAGAAGAAGCCUAAGCUCUACUCUUGGCCCCACUCAGAGCAGCUGGGCUAAUGCUGGCCCAUGUCUUUGCCUCUCAGCAUCUCAGUUGCCUUAUCCCUAAAGGAGGAAUGCGCAUAGGGGCUCCUACUACAGAAUUCCCAACAGCGAAAGCCUGAGAAGAUGCUACUACUAUACUGUUGUGCAGUCAUUCAACAAACAUUUGCUGAGCACCUACUGUGUGCUGGAUUCUGUUUUAGGCACUUGGGAGACAGCAGGAAACUAGACAAGCAGCAUCCCUGCCUGCCUGGUGCUAACAUUCUGGAAGGUGGAAAAACUCGUCUUUCGAAAGCUAGGAAUCAUUUCUGAUUUUGUUUUGGAAGUGACGUUGGGCUUUUGAUGGUGCCUGGGCCAGGUGUCACAGCUCAUACCUGUAAUCCCAGUGCUCUGGGAGGACAAGGCAGGAGGAUCACUUGAAGCCAGGAGUUCGGGACCAGCCUGGGCAACAUGGCAAGACCCUGUCUCUAAAAAAUAAAAAUGGGGCGCAGUGGCUCAUGCCUGUAAUCCCAGCACCUGGGAGGCUGAGGCAGGCGGAUCACUUGAGGCCAGGAGUUCGAGACCAGCCUGGGCAACAUGGUAAAACCCCCAUCUCUACUAAAAAAUACAAAAAUUAGCCAGGCAUGGUGGCGGGCACCUGUAAUCCCAGCUACUCAGGAGGCUGAGGCAGGAGAAUCCCUUGAACCCAGGAGGUGGAGGUUGCGGUGAGCUUGGAUCGCGUCAUGGUAUUCCAACCUCGGGUGACA